GGGUUUGAAGAGCUGAUCCAGUGGACGAAAGAGGGGAAACUGGGAGUUCCCAAUUAACAAUGAAGCAGGAGCUGACUAAGGCUUUGGAACAGAAACCAGAUGAUGCACAGUAUUAUUGUCAAAGAGCUUAUUGUCACAUUCUUCUUGGGAGUUACUGUGGAUCUGUAAAUAACUGACGAAAAACCCAUCUGUUUCUACGUAGUUGCUGUUGCCGACACAAAGAAGUCUUGCGAACUCAAUCCAAAUAAUUCCACUGCUAUGCUGAGAAAAGGGUAUUCAAUAGCUACUCUUUUUGUUGAGCUUGGACUGUAAAUAGUAGAUGUUUAAUUUGUUGAAUGAGUUCAUUGUAAGCUUUAUAAGUAGUAAAAUUCUAUAUUUAUACAUUUUAUAGCAGAGAUAUGAUUCAAUUUUAAAUACAAAGGUAUAGUUCUAUUAUUUUGUUAGCCAUAGUAUGUGAUAGGACAUCUGUACUUAACAUAUUUUAAAAUAGUGAUGAUUGAAAUAACUGCAAGGUAUAGAUGAAACUGAAGGAUUUCACAUUCCUUUUUUGUUUAUCAUUUGGAAUUUACUGUAUUUAACUGACUAGAGAACAUCUUAUUCUUCAACCAAGCUGAAUAGGCCGCAUUUAAUGCUAUGAAAGCUCUAUAUCUGUGUGCUUUGUAUCCCAUCUUGUUUCUAAGUGUAACUUUAUUCUUUAAGUAAGAAACUUCUUUAAUUCCUUUGUAUAAUUAUAUUUUGGAAUAAGCAAGUAUGUACAAUUAAAGUGAAAUUCCUUCUGAAGCAAGUUCUAAAAUUGAAUUUUACUGGAAAUUGUACUAGAUGUUAACAGUAUUUUUAGAAAGUCUCUUGGCUUACUAACAUAUACUUAAAUUUUUUCUUUCAACAAUAGAAAAUACUAAGAUGUUUUUAUUUAGAACUGCCUAAAUGCCUUUCUUUUUUUUCUUUUUUUGGGGGCUGGUGGCACGGAGCCUUGCUCUGUCACCCAUCCUUGAGUGCAAUGGCACCAUCUUAGUUCACUGCAGCCUUGAAUUCCAGGGCUCAAGCCAUCCUUCUGCCUCUGCCUCCUGAGUAGGUGGGACUACAGGCAUGUGCCACCAUACUGAGCUAAUUUGUUAAACACUUUUUUUGUAGAGAUGAGGUCUUGCUACAUUGCCCAGACUGCUCUCUGAACUCCCGGCCUCAAGUGAUCCUACUGCCUUGGCCUCCCAAAGUACUGGCAUAACAGACAUGAGCCACUGCACCUGACUCCUAAGUUCUUUUCUUGAAUAAUAUCUUUCUUUUCUUUUUUUUAUUUUUUUGAGGUGGAGUCUCACCCUGUUGCCCAGGCUGGAGUGCAAUGGCGUGAUCUCGGCUCACUGCAACUUCCACCUCCUGGGUUCAAGUGAUUCUCCUGCCUCAGCCUCCUGAGUAGCUAGGAUUACAGGCGUGCACUACCACGCCUGGCUAAUUUUUUGUAUCUUUAGUAGAGAUGGGGUUUCACCAUGUUGGCCAGGCUUGUCUCGAACUCUUGACCUCGUGAUCCACCCGCCUUGGCCUCCCAAAGUGUUGGGAUUACAGGCGUGAGCCACCGCGCCUGGCCAAGUAAUAUCUUAAUAUCAUGCCAUUGACAUUUAUCCUCUAAUUAUUUCAGAGGUGGCCUUCAGAAGAAGGCCUCUUUGGUAAAAUUGCUAUUGAGGAUAUUUCACUGAAAAACAAAUUUAUCUUUAAAUCCAGGAAAAAUUUAAACUUUUAGGCUUCUAUUUUUAUCAGACAGGGUAAAAAAUUUAUAACUCAGAAUAUUACCUUUUCCCCUCUUUGUGUGAUGGAUUGCUUGGUUUUAGUUACUGAUUAUUUAAAGUAAUAAGUUAUUCAAAUCUAGGAUUUUGAUACAAUAGUUCUUCUCUAGAAUAUAGUGUGUGUGUGAGAGUAUAUUUAAAAUUUUUAUUAAGGCCCAUGGGGCAGCCCUUGAGGAAACCAGACCUUGGGGAUCGCCAGGCAGGAUUAGUGGCAGGAAUUGAGAGAACAGAGCACCACUGAGCUCAUCGGGGACCGUCCCCCAGUCACAAGAGUAUCUCAAGGAAGUAGUCUUCUCCCAUAUCCCCCAAAGAUAGCUACCAGAGGGUCAGUCCUCUGAGCCCUUCUCAGUGUAGAAAAGACAAGUGUCAAAGCUUCCCCACUCACCCUGAGUUUGCCUUCUAUUACAAUAUGUCAUUUGGCCUCACUGAGGCUGAGCAGAGGAUGCUGGACCUCCCAGGAUAUUUUGGGUCAAAUGAAGAGGAUGAAACCACAAGUACACUUAGCGUGGAGAAGCUGGUGAUCUAGACUUGAGAAUCAGCCUGAGCUUUACACAGCUAGGGUCUGCUACUUGUGUUUUGUAGACUUUUGUGUAACUAUUUAUACCGUAGGACAGAAUGUGAGGAGGAAGUAACACACACAGAGGAGGAUGUGUGUGUAUGCAUGUGUUUGAAUUCACAAGGAAGAAAUUAUUUAUCUUGAGCUUUUUCCUUUGUUAUUCAAUUUUUAUUGGUUUAUUACUAAUAAUAAUAAAAUGUAAAUAAGAGCAAA